rnacentral:rRNA from 1 species
UACGAAGGGGGCUAGCGUUGUUCGGAAUUACUGGGCGUAAAGCGCGCGCAGGCGGUCUUCCAAGUCAGUGGUGAAAGCCCGGAGCUCAACUCCGGAACUGCCAUUGAAACUGUUAGACUUGAGGAUGAGAGAGGUGAGUGGAAUUCCCAGUGUAGAGGUGAAAUUCGUAGAUAUUGGGAAGAACACCGGUGGCGAAGGCGGCUCACUGGCUCAUUUCUGACGCUCAGGCGCGACAGCGUGGGGAUCAAACAGG